GAUGAACGCUGGCGGCGUGCCUAAUACAUGCAAGUCGAGCGAACGGACGAGAAGCUUGCUUUUCUGAUGUUAGCGGCGGACGGGUGAGUAACACGUGGAUAACCUACCUAUAAGACUGGGAUAACUUCGGGAAACCGGAGCUAAUACCGGAUAAUAUUUUGAACCGCAUGGUUCAAAAGUGAAAGACGGUCUUGCUGUCACUUAUAGAUGGAUCCGCGCUGCAUUAGCUAGUUGGUAAGGUAACGGCUUACCAAGGCAACGAUGCAUAGCCGACCUGAGAGGGUGAUCGGCCACACUGGAACUGAGACACGGUCCAGACUCUACGGGAGGCAGCAGUAGGGAAUCUUCCGCAAUGGGCGAAAGCCUGACGGAGCAACGCCGCGUGAGUGAUGAAGGUCUUCGGAUCGUAAAACUCUGUUAUUAGGGAAGAACAUAUGUGUAAGUAACUGUGCACAUCUUGACGGUACCUAAUCAGAAAGCCACGGCUAACUACGU
rnacentral:rRNA from 1 species